UCAAAUUUCUCUCUCUCUCUCUCUCUCUCUAAAAUUCAAAAGUCGGUUCGAUCUCUCCCUGCGGAGUUCUUCUGAGAGCAUAGUCGUUUUCGAUCUCUCCCUCUCUAUUUCGAAUUGGAGAACGAUAACCUCCUUGUUUACGGGUUUGAUCUGGAUAAUGAAGAUGAACGUGAACAGAUCCGGCGAUCUGAAUUCCAUACAAGUAUUUGCUCCUAAUACAAGGAGAUCUGGUUCACAACAGGCAUAUGAGGAACUCGAGUAAUGGAAUGGAAUGAUUGAAACUUCAUUGAACAGGUUUGGAAUGUUGUUGGACUCCUUGCAGAGUGAUAUAAUGCGAAGCCAACAUACAGAAGUAUGUCUAGAAAGUGAGUUAUCUGAUUGUUACCCUAGACACAUACCAGACAUAUGAGGUGGGCAGACAAACAACUAUUUGUAAUUCCACUUUCUUAUCACAUUGAAAUGCAAAUCUAUUCUCUGGUCAAGGAUGUUUAAACAUCUUACUCGAACAUUAUAUUCGCAGUUUUAUCGCUGAUUGAUAUUGUGUCUCCAAUAGGUUUUUUGAAUGAUUGAAGAUUAUUCCAUUUGAAGAGUUUAUAUUCUUUCAUACACUGACGCUUGAUUCCUCCACAUUUUUUGUCAAGGCCUCUCUGGUUUCUUGAGUUGAAUUUCUGGUUUCUUGAAUUCCUUGCAGCUGAAUGUAUACGGCAAAAGUUGAUUCUCCAUGACACUUCACUUCAGCAUCUGGUGUGAUGCUUCAAUCUCUAGAGCCUUAUUCCUUACAGGCUUUGGCCAGCUUGAAGAUGGCUGAUCCAAGAAUUCACAUUUUCACAACAUCUCAAACUAAGGAGAGCUUGCCCGAGCGGCGGGUCCAGUGGUCAAGGUUCUUCAAUUGCACUAACGCAUACAUACUCUAGCCCACAUAUUAAUUUUGUUCACUCGAUGGCAAGUGAAUUGUCUUAGCUUGUCGAAGACAGUAUAUUUGCAGAAGAAGAAUGCCUCAUCUACCACUACGUCGAAUCAGAGAAAAACUCAGCUGUCCCGAAAUCCAUUUAACUCAUCAACUGGAUCUGUAAAAACAUGUUUAUCUCCACAGAUACAAGCGGGAUGUUGAAAGUCAGUGAUUUAUACAAGCGGGAUGUUAACCUCUGACAUCUAAGCUCUGUUGUCGGAGGGAUGGGCUUUGGCGGUCCGACAAUAAAGGACCGGGAGGAGCAAUCACCCAAGCUGAGCAAAUUAUAGGCCAACACGUGUCGACCGGUUGCCUCUGGGCCCUGGUACGCUCUUAUAUUUGUUCAUUUUUUCAUAUGCCGUGUAUGAGAUGAGAGAGACUACGAUUAGAUUGGCAUCUUAGAGAUAUUAACCCGUCUGGGGUUAACACAUAAAUCACUAAAAAAUCAGGGGUCUGGACCCAAUCUCCCACUAACCCAGGCUCUACUAUGGUCCAUCUGUCAUUUUCACGACCCACUAAAGCAUCCCACUUUCCUGUUUAGAACAAAAAAAAAAAAAAUAAA